rnacentral:rRNA from 1 species
AGUGAACGCUGGCGGUAGGCCUAACACAUGCAAGUCGAACGGCAGCACAGGAGAGCUUGCUCUCUGGGUGGCGAGUGGCGGACGGGUGAGGAAUACAUCGGAAUCUACCUUUUCGUGAGGGAUAACGUAGGGAAACCUACGCUAAUACCGCAUACGACCUACGGGUGAAAGUGGGGGACCGCAAGGCCUCACGCGAUUAGAUGAGCCGGUGUCCGAGUAGCUAGUUGGCGGGGUAAUGGCCCACCAAGGCGACGAUCGGUAGCUGGUCUGAGAGGAUGAUCAGCCACACUGGAACUGAGACACGGUCCAGACUCCUACGGGAGGCAGCAGUGGGGAAUAUUGGACAAUGGGCGCAAGCCUGAUCCAGCCAUACCGCGUGGGUGAAGAAGGCCUUCGGGUUGUAUAGCCCUUUGGUUGGGAAAGAAAUCCUGUCGAUUAAUACUCGGUGGGGAUGACGGUACCCAAAGAAUAAGCACCGGCUAACUUCGUGCCAGCAGCCGCCGUAACAC